GUCUAUGGCCAUGCCACCCUGAACGUGCCCGAUCUCUAAGCAGGGUCGGGCCUGGUUAGUACUUGGAUGAGAGACCACCUAGAAAUACCAGAUGCUGGAGGCG
rnacentral:rRNA from 1 species